rnacentral:rRNA from 1 species
UACGAAGGGGACUAGCGUUGUUCGGAAUCACUGGGCGUAAAGCGCACGUAGGCGGAUGUGUCAGUCAGGGGUGAAAUCCCGGGGCUCAACCUCGGAACUGCCUUUGAUACUGGCGAUCUUGAGUCCGGGAGAGGUGAGUGGAACUGCGAGUGUAGAGGUGAAAUUCGUAGAUAUUCGCAAGAACACCAGUGGCGAAGGCGGCUCACUGGCCCGGUACUGACGCUGAGGUGCGAAAGCGUGGGGAGCAAACAGA